CGCUGGCGGCACGCCUAACACAUGCAAGUCGAACGAAGUAGCAAUACUUAGUGGCAGACGGGUGAGUAACAUGUAGGUAUCUACCCUAUGGCCUGGAAUAACACGAGGAAACUUGUGCUAAUACCGGAUAAGUCUUUACAGAGAAAGCUUUAUGCACCAUUGGAUGAGCCUGCACUUGAUUAGUUUGUUGGUAGGGUAAUGGCCUACCAAGACUGUGAUCAAUAGCUGAUUUGAGAGGAUGAUCAGCCACAUUGGGACUGAGACACGGCCCAAACUCCUACGGGAGGCAGCAGUGGGGAAUCUUGCACAAUGGAGGAAACUCUGAUGCAGCGAUGCCGCGUGAGUGAAGAAGGCCUUUGGGUUGUAAAGCUCUUUCGUCGGGGAAGAAAAUGACUGUACCCGAAUAAGAAGGUCCGGCUAACUUCGUGCCAGCAGCCGCGGUAAUACGAAGGGACCUAGCGUAGUUCGGAAUUACUGGGCUUAAAGAGUUCGUAGGUGGUUGAAAAAGUUGGUGGUGAAAUCCCAGAGCUUAACUCUGGAACUGCCAUCAAAACUUUUCAGCUAGAGUAUGAUAGAGGAAAGCAGAAUUUCUAGUGUAGAGGUGAAAUUCGUAGAUAUUAGAAAGAAUACCAAUUGCGAAGGCAGCUUUCUGGAUCAUUACUGACACUGAGGAACGAAAGCAUGGGUAGCGAAGAGGAUUAGAUACCCUCGUAGUCCAUGCCGUAAACGAUGUGUGUUAGACGUUGGAAAUUUAUUUUCAGUGUCGCAGCGAAAGCGAUAAACACACCGCCUGGGGAGUAC
rnacentral:rRNA from 1 species